rnacentral:rRNA from 1 species
CAUGCAAGUCGAACGAAGGCUUCGGCCUUAGUGGCGCACGGGUGCGUAACGCGUGGGAAUCUGCCCUCAGGUUCGGAAUAACAGCGAGAAAUUGCUGCUAAUACCGGAUGAUAUCGCGAGAUCAAAGAUUUAUCGCCUGAGGAUGAGCCUGCGUAGGAUUAGCUAGUUGGUGUGGUAAAGGCGCACCAAGGCGACGAUCCUUAGCUGGUCUGAGAGGAUGAUCAGCCACACUGGGACUGAGACACGGCCCAGACUCCUACGGGAGGCAGCAGUGGGGAAUAUUGGACAAUGGGCGAAAGCCUGAUCCAGCAAUGCCGCGUGAGUGAUGAAGGCCUAGGGUUGUAAAGCUCUUUUACCCGGGAUGAUAAUGACAGUACCGGGAGAAUAAGCUCCGGCUAACUCCGUGCCAGCAGCCGCGGUAAUACGGAGGGAGCUAGCGUUAUUCGGAAUUACUGGGCGUAAAGCGCACGUAGGCGGCUUUGUAAGUUUGAGGUGAAAGCCUGGAGCUCAACUCCAGAAUUGCCUUUAAGACUGCAUCGCUUGAAUCCAGGAGAGGUGAGUGGAAUUCCGAGUGUAGAGGUGAAAU